AUGAAAUGACACCCAUUCCAUUGAUGCACCUUCCAGAGCAAUGCCACCAUGUUGAGUUGAUACAUGGGCCUUGGCUGCUUUUGAAGAUGUCCUACUGGGGCUGCGACCUGACCCACUGGAUCCAGGGUGGCGUCCAUCAGCACUCUGUGAAAGUCCAUUACUUUGACCGCCUUCUCAUGAGGAAUGUGUCUGGCACGGCAACUUGUCAGACUCCCAUCUCCACCUCCCCUACCUCUGUUCCACCAACAUUGUGGCUGCCCCAAGUCACCUGUGGGAAAACAGACAUGACUGUUAAACUACCUGCUGGAAUGCUGAUAGAUGUGAAGGUGCUUGGUCCAGAGGCGUUGUUGCACGUUCAUGAUGGAUACAGUGUAACUCAGUGGAAAAGUCUCAAUGCCUUGUUUGUCAAAUUUUCCCAAUCAAAUGUGGAGGUAAGAAAGUCCUGGGGCGUCAUUUAUCAAUAUUGCAUAGAAACUGAUUAAAAAAAAUGAUCAUGCUCUGAAAUGUAAGUAUUAGAUUGUCUGAAAAUGGACUAAAAUGCACAUAUGAUUCUUUGUUGCAACGGUUGAACAUUUUAGACGUAAAAAUAAAUACAAUUGAACUUGUGCUGGUGAUUGCAGUUGCCCUUAAAUGAUUUCUUCUUCCACAGUAUGGCAGUCUCUCGCUUCAACUGGUUUAUCAGAACUCUGCUGGAGAGUUGUCCACCACAUUGGUAUCGUGUUUCCCUCAGCCUUUCAAGUCAAGAAAUGUAGAAGAACCUUUUGGGGAUUUAUGGGGAUUCCCAA
rnacentral:lncRNA from 8 species